rfam:Salmo salar isolate Sally breed double haploid chromosome ssa14, whole genome shotgun sequence.
UGCACUAACUAACUGUAAGUCGCUCUGGAUAAGAGCAUCUGCUAAAUGACUAAAA